rnacentral:rRNA from 1 species
AACGGUGGAGCCUGCGGUUUAAUUGGACUCAACGCCGGGCAGCUCACCGGAUAAGACAGCUGGAUGAUAGCCGGGCUGAAGACUCUGCUUGACUAGCUGAGAGGAGGUGCAUGGCCGUCGUCAGUUCGUACUGUGAAGCAUCCUGUUAAGUCAGGCAACGAGCGAGACCCACGCCAACAGUUGCCAGCAUGUCCUCCGGGAUGAUGGGGACACUGUUGGGACCGCCUCUGCUAAAGAGGAGGAAGGAAUGGGCAACGGUAGGUCAGCAUGCCCCGAAUUAUCCGGGCUACACGCGGGCUACAAUGGUCAGGACAAUGGGUAUCGACACCGAGAGGUGGAGGCAAUCUCCUAAACCUGUCCUUAGUUCGGAUUGUGGGCUGCAACUCGCCCACAUGAAGCUGGAAUCCGUAGUAAUCGCAGGUCAGCAUACUGCGGUGAAUACGUUCCCGGGUCUU